rnacentral:rRNA from 1 species
UACGAAGGGGGCUAGCGUUGCUCGGAAUCACUGGGCGUAAAGGGUGCGUAGGCGGGGCUUUAAGUCAGGGGUGAAAUCCUGGAGCUCAACUCCAGAACUGCCUUUGAUACUGAGGAUCUUGAGUACGGGAGAGGGGAGUGGAACUGCGAGUGUAGAGGUGAAAUUCGUAGAUAUUCGCAAGAACACCAGUGGCGAAGGCGGCUCACUGGCCCGUUACUGACGCUGAGGCACGAAAGCGUGGGGAGCAAACAGG